GAUGAACGCUGGCGGCGUGCCUAAUACAUGCAAGUCGAGCGAAUGGAUUAAGAGCUUGCUCUUAUGAAGUUAGCGGCGGACGGGUGAGUAACACGUGGAUAACCUGCCCAUAAGACUGGGAUAACUCCGGGAAACCGGGGCUAAUACCGGAUAACAUUUUGAACCGCCUGGUUCGAAAUUGAAAGGCGGCUUCGGCUGUCACUUAUGGAUGGACCCGCGUCGCAUUAGCUAGUUGGUGAGGUAACGGCUCACCAAGGCAACGAUGCGUAGCCGACCUGAGAGGGUGAUCGGCCACACUGGGACUGAGACACGGCCCAGACUCCUACGGGAGGCAGCAGUAGGGAAUCUUCCGCAAUGGACGAAAGUCUGACGGAGCAACGCCGCGUGAGUGACGAAGGCUUUCGGGUCGUAAAACUCUGUUGUUAGGGAAGAACAAGUGCUAGUUGAAUAAGCUGGCACCUUGACGGUACCUAACCAGAAAGCCACGGCUAACUACGUGCCAGCCGCCGCAGUAA
rnacentral:rRNA from 1 species